CAGCCCGCGGCGUGUCACGUCGGAGAAUACUUUCUGCAACUUCCGGUCCUUCCUACAUCAUGCAUUGCAUGCAGUAAGGCUGAUGUUAAUAAACGUUAAUGACCAAAUAAUCAGCAACUAAAAUAUAUGUCAGAAUGUGCUUGAUUAAAUGUCGCAAAUAAUUAUUUUAAUCGAAAAUUAUGGAUAAUACAAAGUAUUAUAUUUGGUGAGCUUAAUUACUUAUACAUAUAUAUUAAAUCAACCAUGCAUCAUGAAAUGACCAUGGAUUACUGAAUCAUAACUUCAACAAAAAGGAUUGCAUCAUAUUUAGGAAUGAAUGCUUUGUUCAACAUAGUAUUAACAUUGCGGGAUUUGAAAUCAAAGAGACGUGAAUCGUUUAAAUGUAAUUGGCACUAUGCAAAUGAAAUGACUCGAUUCUGAUCAGAAUCGUUUUGAAAAUGUUAAUGCACACAUUUAUUGCAUGCUGUACAAACACUGGCGAUAUCCCUGUAAAAAGAUGUGGAAGUAUAAUUAUGUACACAAAUAUAUUAAGCUGAACCUAAA